ACCUAACCCGGCUGCACUCCCUGGAUGUAGAAAGCAGAAAGUGCGACCGGAUUGGGUGA
rnacentral:pre_miRNA from 1 species